AGGAAGACGCUCCGAUAACCCGUGCGUUUCGUAAGGCUCUGAGCACUUGUACAUUUCUGCAGGCGCGCGACGAGCCAUUCGCGGCGGCUGCUGCAGCUCCGACUGCAUCCUCCUCCUCCUCCUCCUUCCCCCGGGCUCCGGGUGUGUGUCUGCGUGAGUGUAUGUGUGUGUGUGUGUGUUUUGCAGGUGUGUCCGUUUUAAUUCUGCCCAGUAGGUGGGACUUGGUGACUUUAGCACCAUAUUUUUCCUUUUCUUUUUUUUCCCUUCUUUUUCUUUUUUGCCUCCCCACCGUCUGUUGCAACCCUGCAAAGUCUCGGAGUCGGAGAGCGCGGCUCGCUUCCCGAGCCCCCGGACCCGGCGAGCCGGCGAGCGCCGAGCCGGCCACCAUGCCAGGCAGACCGCGCCACUAGGCGCUCCCCGCGGCUCCCACCCGGCGGCGGCGGCAGCGGCGGCGGCGGCGGCGGCGGCGGCCGCGAUGGUUUCAGACGCUGAAGGAUUUUGCAUCUGAUCGCACGGCGUUUCAAAGGCAGAGGCCCCCCCUCCCCCUUCCCCCCUCCCUCGCCGUCUUUGUUUCCUUCCCCCCCAGCUCUCCCCACUCCCCCCACCCCACCCCCCUCUCCUCUCCUCCUCCUCUUUUUUAGAAGCCGCGAUCGGAGAUGGAUGUCUCUCUUUGCCCAGCCAAGUGUAGUUUCUGGCGGAUUUUCUUGCUGGGAAGCGUCUGGCUGGACUAUGUGGGCUCCGUGCUGGCUUGCCCUGCAAAUUGUGUCUGCAGCAAGACUGAGAUCAAUUGCCGGCGGCCGGACGAUGGGAACCUCUUCCCCCUCCUGGAAGGGCAGGAUUCAGGGAACAGCAAUGGGAACGCCAGCAUCAACAUCACAGACAUCUCAAGGAAUAUCACUUCCAUACACAUAGAGAACUGGCGGGGCCUGCACACGCUCAAUGCAGUAGACAUGGAGCUCUACACCGGCCUCCAGAAGCUGACCAUCAAGAACUCAGGACUUCGGAGCAUCCAGCCCAGAGCCUUUGCCAAGAACCCUCACUUGCGCUAUAUAAACCUGUCGAGUAACCGGCUUACCACACUCUCAUGGCAGCUCUUCCAGACGCUGAGUCUUCGGGAAUUGAGGUUGGAGCAGAACUUCUUCAACUGCAGCUGUGACAUCCGCUGGAUGCAGCUGUGGCAGGAGCAGGGGGAGGCCAAGCUCAGCAGCCAGCACCUCUACUGCAUCAACGCGGACGGCUCCCAGCUGCCCCUCUUCCGCAUGAACAUCAGCCAGUGUGACCUUCCUGAGAUCAGUGUGAGCCACGUCAACCUGACCGUACGAGAGGGUGACAAUGCCGUCAUCACUUGUAAUGGCUCUGGAUCACCGCUGCCUGACGUAGACUGGAUAGUCACUGGCCUGCAGUCCAUCAACACCCACCAGACCAAUCUGAACUGGACCAAUGUGCACGCCAUCAACCUGACCCUGGUGAACGUGACAAGUGAGGACAACGGCUUCACCCUGACGUGCAUCGCGGAGAACGUGGUGGGCAUGAGCAAUGCCAGCGUCGCCCUCACCGUGCACUACCCUCCGCGUGUGGUGAGCCUGGAGGAGCCCGAGCUGCGCCUGGAGCACUGCAUCGAGUUCGUGGUGCGUGGCAACCCACCGCCCACGCUGCACUGGCUGCACAACGGGCAGCCGCUGCGUGAGUCCAAGAUCACCCACGUGGAGUACUACCAGGAGGGCGAGGUGUCCGAGGGCUGCCUGCUCUUCAACAAGCCCACCCACUACAACAACGGCAACUACACCCUUAUCGCCAAAAACCCGCUGGGCACCGCCAACCAGACCAUCAACGGCCACUUCCUCAAGGAGCCCUUCCCAGAGAGCACGGAUAACUUUGUCUCUAUCUACGAUGUGAGCCCCACGCCCAUCACUGUGACCCACAAACCGGAGGAAGACACUUUCGGGGUAUCCAUAGCUGUUGGACUUGCUGCUUUUGCCUGCGUCCUGUUGGUGGUUCUCUUCAUCAUGAUCAACAAGUACGGUCGACGGUCCAAAUUUGGAAUGAAGGGCCCCGUGGCUGUCAUCAGCGGCGAGGAGGACUCAGCCAGCCCGCUGCACCACAUCAACCAUGGCAUCACCACACCCUCGUCGUUGGACGCUGGGCCAGACACGGUGGUCAUCGGCAUGACCCGGAUCCCAGUCAUUGAGAACCCCCAGUACUUCCGUCAGGGACACAACUGCCACAAGCCAGACACGUACGUGCAGCACAUUAAGAGGAGGGACAUCGUGUUGAAGCGGGAACUGGGCGAGGGAGCCUUUGGCAAGGUCUUCCUGGCCGAGUGCUACAACCUCAGCCCGACCAAGGACAAGAUGCUCGUGGCCGUGAAGGCCCUGAAGGAUCCCACCCUGGCUGCCCGGAAGGAUUUCCAGAGGGAGGCUGAGUUGCUCACCAACCUGCAGCACGAGCACAUUGUCAAAUUCUAUGGUGUGUGUGGCGACGGUGACCCACUCAUCAUGGUCUUUGAGUACAUGAAGCACGGAGACCUCAACAAGUUCCUCAGGGCCCAUGGGCCAGAUGCUAUGAUCCUUGUGGACGGGCAGCCACGCCAGGCGAAAGGCGAGCUGGGUCUCUCCCAAAUGCUCCACAUCGCCAGUCAGAUUGCCUCAGGCAUGGUGUACCUGGCCUCCCAGCACUUUGUGCACCGGGACCUGGCCACCAGGAAUUGCCUGGUUGGAGCCAAUCUGCUGGUGAAGAUCGGGGACUUCGGCAUGUCCAGAGAUGUCUACAGCACCGAUUACUACAGGGUGGGAGGACACACCAUGCUCCCCAUCCGUUGGAUGCCCCCUGAAAGCAUCAUGUACCGGAAGUUCACUACGGAGAGCGAUGUGUGGAGCUUUGGGGUGAUCCUGUGGGAGAUCUUCACCUACGGAAAGCAGCCAUGGUUCCAGCUCUCAAACACAGAGGUCAUCGAGUGUAUCACCCAGGGUCGUGUGCUGGAGCGGCCCCGAGUGUGCCCCAAAGAGGUGUACGACGUCAUGCUGGGGUGCUGGCAGAGGGAACCCCAGCAGCGGCUGAACAUCAAGGAGAUCUACAAAGUCCUUCACGCUUUGGGGAAAGCCGCCCCCAUCUACCUGGACAUCCUCGGCUAGCGGUGGCUGGCGGUCACGGAUGCGUACUCUGUUGCCUCCUGUCUCCUGGCCUCACAUCCUCCCUUGUCACCUCACACUCCUUUCUUCCAUCCUGACUGAAGCGAACAUCUUCAUAUAAACUCAAGUGCCUGCUACACAUACAACACUGAAAAAAAAAAAAAGGAAAGAAAAAACCCUGUAAGGCAGUUUGGCGAAUAUAUAUAUAUAUAUACAUAUAUAUAUUUAUAUAUCUAACUAUCUAUCUAUCUAUAUCCACAGACAGAGAGAUACCUUCUCUAAUACAGAGAGAAGCUGCUGACACAGAAACCAUAAGACUGUAACAACAACUCAGAAAAUCUUAAAUAUUAUAAACACAAAUGGAAACCCCCUUUGACGGAAGCUGGGGUCCCUGCUUCUUCGGCUCUGGCUUUUCGGAGCCGAAGACCUUGAUGACACAGAGACGGUCUUCCUGCGGGGACAGGAGGAGCUGGGGUGGGGUGCGAAUUGUUCAGGCGAUUACCUGCACAGGUGCGUUUCCCCUCCCCGGCCCCCCCUCCCCGAGCUCUGCACAGGUGCAUGGACAGACCCCAUCAACUGCACUCAGGAUGCAGCGGGAAAGAACACUGGACCGGGGGCCUCUGGAAAAGCCUCAUGUCUCCCCUGACUGUUGCCUCCACGCCUUCCCCUUUCCUCUGCUUCAAGACGGUUCUCCCAUUCGUCCAUUCUGGAAAGUAGAGUCCUGACGCUUUUGGAAGUCAGUGAGGGCGUGUACCAGUCAACACGUAACAACCGACAAGAUACAAAACCAUCAUGACAAUGGACUUCAUCCAUCUUGGGUGUAAACCACGCUCACGUUCCUUCCUAAAUUUGAAAGGGACGUGCCAUUUAUUCUCUGAACCUCAAGAACUGGACGUUCUGGACUUAGCCACAGAAGAAGAAGCUGAAAUUCGAACCCUCCCUGGCAAGGCACUGCCUCUCGUCUUUCCCUCGCUGGAAAGACUCCUCAGCCCCACCUCCCGCAUUCGGGCCUUUCGGGGAGUUUGGGGGCGAAGGGAACGUCCCGCCUGUUGCCCGCAAAUGUGGACGCAGCAGGGUUCCGGUAGCAGGAGACUUCGUUCCUUGCCCCUCCCAGUGUGAGUGUACUAUGCCCCUACGGAACAGGAGCACCACAGACCACAUGUCAGCACAGUGUUCAUUUAUUUAGUGGAAUGGUUAUAAUAUUGACACAAAGGUUUGCAGCAUCUAAAUCUUGAGGGGGAUAAGAGGCUUUUUCUAUCAAAUGAGAUCUUUACUGUGAUGGCACAAGAAGGGUUUAUACCUUAAGAACAGCAAUGAACCUGAGAACAUGCUCCCUCUUUAAGGAACAAUGAGGUGGAAGAAAUCACUGGAGAAGUCACCAGGACACCAGACCCUCUAUUCCGCAAAUCACGAUGUUUCAAUAGAUGCUUCAACUCUGUCCUUGACAUGGCUCUAAAAACAUAAUAAUGAACUAUGAUCAGCUAUCCACAUUUACUACUAAAAUUCAUCAUGUCUAACCCAACCCCUAUUUUUAUCAAAUAUCAUUUUUUUUCAUAACUAUCAGUUCAAUGUUGCUUUUUGUUUCCUGGGCCCCUUCUAAUAUUUUCAGUGAGUUUUUUUUCAUUUUUAUUUCUUUAGGAAAGACAUGGGGUCUAUGUUAAAUAUUGUCUGUGAUAAAAUGGCAAG